rnacentral:rRNA from 1 species
AAUAAAUAAAAUUGUUUUAUAUUAAAUUCUUAAAUAAAUAUAAAUUAAACAAAUUUAAUGGUUAUUGUAAAAUGAAUUGAUCAAAUUAUAUUUACUAUAGUAAACUAGUACAGUGAUGGAAAUUUUAAAUUAAUUAUUAUUAUUAAGAAAAGGUAAUUUGAAUUAUUGUAUCUUGUGUAUCAGAGUAUAUUAAAAUUAAUUAUAAAUUUUUUUUCUUCUCGAAUUUUAAAGAUUUAAUUGAAUAUAUUAGUUAUUGUUUCAUAAAUAUUAAUAAUAUUUAAUUGGUAAUGAGAUGUUAUUCGUUUUUGAGGAUAUCUAGUUUUUUAAUAAAUGAAUUUAAUUCAGAACAUAAAAAUUAUUUAUUGUGUAAAUAUUUAAAUAUUUUUUAUGUUUAAUUUAAAAAGGGAUUAGCUUUUUUAAAAAUAAUUAUAAUAGGAAAGUGUAGAGGAUUUUAUAAAUUUAGAAUUUGUUAAUAAUUAAAGUAUGUUAAAAUUUAAUUCUUGAUUAAUUGGAUUUAUUUUAUUAUUUAAAUUAUUUAUUAAAAUGUUAAAUUAAAUUGGUAAAUUUUUGUAAAAAUGAUUUAAUUAGUAAAUUUAAAGGUUAUAUGUAUAUAUUAAAUGUAAAAUUAAUAUGAAGAAUUAGGCAAAUAUUUUACUCGCCUGUUUAUUAAAAACAUGGUUUCUUGAAAAUAUUUAAGAAAUUUAACCUGCCCACUGAAGCAAUUUUGAAGGGCCGCAGUAUUUUGACUGUGCAAAGGUAGCAUAAUCAUUAGUCUUUUAAUUGAGGGCUAGUAUGAAUGGUUGGACGAGGUAAAUUCUGUUUUAUGUUAAUUAAAUUGAAUUUAGGUUUUAAGUAAAAAAACUUAAAUAUUAUUAAGGGACGAGAAGACCCUAUAGAGUUUAAUAUUUGUAAUAGUUAAUUGAGUUACAAAUUAAUUUUUGGUUUCUAUAAAAAAUAUUUAAUUGGGGUGAUUGGAAAAUAAAGUUAACUUUUCUUUAAUAUAAAUAUUUUAAUUAAUUAAAUGAUCCGUUUAUAAUGAUUAAAAGAUUAAAUUACCUUAGGGAUAACAGCAUAAUUUUUUUUGAGAGUUCAUAUCGAAAGAAGAGAUUGUGACCUCGAUGUUGGAUUAAGAUUAGUUUUGGGUGCAGAUGUUCAAAUAAACUAGGUCUGUUCGACCUUUAAAAUCUUACAUGAUCUGAGUUUAAACCGGCGUGAGCCAGGUUGGUUUCUAUCUUUAAUUUUAUUAAGUGCUUUAGUACGAGAGGACCAAGUAUUUGAAAUAAUUUUUAAUUAAUUGAUUAUUAAUAAUU